rnacentral:lncRNA from 1 species
CCCCCAAUGUAUUCCCAGUGUACAGAAGACCAGAAAGAAGAUGAAGAUUAUUUCCUUAGAGAUCCAAAUGCAACAAAAAUGGACAGUGAUUGAAGAUGGUACAGACCCAUACUGCUGGGUGAUGUCUGCCCUAUAGAUUCCCCUCAAAGAGAAUAUGGGAUAUUCUGAAGGAAUCCUUGAUGUUUUCAAUUACUCUUCUGCUCUGGAAAGUAUCUUCUUGACAACUGAUAAAUUCUGUGUGGAAUAUUCUGUAGUAACAAACCUCAUCUGUGCUUCCAUAUCUGAAUGAAUUAUUAGAAGACGCCCAGUCUAUUUGGUCAUAACAUUUUCUGUUUUGUACCCCUACACACUCUCUUGCCAUGGAUGCUGCCACUGGUGGAAUGAACAAGACACAAAAGGUCCCUACGGUCCAACCUGCCCUCCUACCUCACCUUCUCAGUCCUCUGAAGACUUUUCCAGAAAAAGCCAAGCAGAAUGUACUUUCCCAGAGCUUAUAACUGUGAGCCGAGGAUGAGGAAAGGGCUUCCCUACAUUCUACUCUUGAGUUCUUGGGUUUGUAUAUCUACAGUAACAGCAAUAAUUCCUGGAUCUGGGAUUCAAGCGCUGCAUCACAUCCCCCGAUUGUCUGACUCUGCAUACAAGUUUAAUAGUACAAUGGAACCUAUAGUAAAAAGAAUUGUCACUUUAUUAGCUUCAAUAUAGAUUAUUUAUUUCUAUACAAAUAUGUUGUUAUUUAAAUUUUCUGAUGUCUAAUGUCUAACCCUUUUUAAAAAUAAAAGAGAAAAAUAUAUUUUAACGUCCUGCAAAACGAAAUAUUUUAUAAAUGCUACGGGGACAUAUUAAACCUCUUUAUCCUAGACAGGUUCCAGAUCAGCACCUGCCCCCAACUUACCUGUAGCCUUUUCUUUUUUCAAAUAGAGCUUUUUGAACUCUGUGCUAUUCUUGUAAAGUAGUUGCAGAUGUGAGCUGCAAGGGCAGCCUCGCCGGGCACACGUACCCACGUGUGACAAUGCGCUCGGCGGCAGCGGCGGCUGCUCCCGGUUUGCGGGCGGCGAGCGCGUGGUGGUGUGCGGGAAGAGGAAACGCACCGCACAGCCGGGCGGGG